UGAAACAAAUGGACCUGACAGAUAUCUAC
rnacentral:piRNA from 1 species